AAGCUUUGCAAAGGGUCUUCUCGCAUUCCCCCAUUUCUCUCCAGCCUGCCUUCAAAGUCCCUGCCUUCUCCAGAGACCCCAGGUCUGCAGCUUUUGCCUCUGGGAGCGAGGGGGCAGAGGAGUGGCAUCAGCUAGGUUGCAGGCUUGGCACUUGGUCUAAAGAGUGCUGCGUCAUCGUCCUGUCUGUCUUUUCUCCCUACUAAUGUGGAAUAGGGGUGAGGGGAGGUGCGGUGGGUGAGAGUGCCCUGGCCCUAAACCGGAAACUCGUCUACUCGCCACCUAUGCUUGCUGCUGCUACUGCUGCUAAGUCACUUCAGUCAUGUCCGACUCUGUGUGACCCCAUAGAUGGCAGCCCACCAGGCUCCCCCGUCCCUGGGAUUCUCCAGGCAAGAACACUGGAGUGGGUUGCCAUUUCCUUCUCCAAUGUAUGAAAGGGAAAAGUGAACGUGAAGUCGCUCAGUUGUGUCCAACUCUUCGCGACCCCAUGGACUGCAGCCUACCGGGCUCCUCCAUCCAUGGGAUACUUAAUGACACAUAAAAGCAUGUCACUAGAGGCAUUGAGUCAAACAAGAGCUAAGAGGCACUUAAGGGUGCUGUGAUGUUAGCUGUGCCUGCCUUUCUGUCUUAAAAAAUACACAUGUGCAGAAGAGAAUCCGGCAAUGAGGACCCAAGCUGGCAGGAUUCCCCACCUUCAGGCCCACCCCCCGCACACACCCCCGCAGGUGUUCAGCCCAGUUAGGAGAGCAGCAGGUCAGUGGUAAAGAUGGAUCAUCCCUUCUUUUUUCUUUCGUAAAGCAACAAUCAAACUGAGCACAUUUAUUAUACAAUGUUAUGUGUAUACCUACCAACUAAUCCCAAUCUCUACAUCAAAGCAUUAUUUUCAAAAAGUUAAGAACCCAACAAUGCAAAUAUAAGACAAAUACAUGCUGAAGAUCUCUGAGCCCGUUAAUGACCAAUCCAGUAAAUGAGCGUUUGGAGCCACAGAGUUUCUGUGAAAUUCAGCUGAACCCCCAGGUUGCCUUUGCUGAGUCUGAAGUUAGUGUGACAAUAACGGUGACUGUUUUCUGGAAAUUUCUUGUGGAAUGAAGGAGGCUGGAUAUCCUGGUUUGUGUCCAGAGAGGACCAGCAGCGCCUCCAGGUCAGUAGGGUUUUUUCUGGGCUUCAGGACUGGGGCUCGGAGUUAACUGUAGCCAUGGCUGAGGGCAAGACACAUGUCUGAUUUUGAGGUUCAAGCAUAGUGUUCUUGUUUGAGCAGGAAGGAAACUGAGGCACAGAGAAGCCAGAGCACGUGGACAGCAGUCGCGGGCUACGUGAAAGCAGCAAGCUCGAUAGGGUGGCAGGUCUGAUGUCGGCAGCAAAGAGACUUCAGGCUUGUGGUGACCGAGGCCUUAAAACCUCACAGGGGGACAUCCUUGGAGCUCCAUGGCCAGGAAGUGCGGGAGGAAACGGGACUUUCAAAGCAGAAAAAGUAGGUCUGCUCAGAACCAGAGCUGGCCAGCCAGGCCUCUGAGGUCUCAAUGCCAGUUAAGUUUUCAAACAACAACUUCUUUUCUUCCCUGAGAAAAAUGGCUUGGGCACGCUUCCCCGGUGUGCGUUUUGUCUGACAAGAAACCCUUUUGUCCUCUGUCAGUAGAAACGCCAAGAAUAAAGCCCGAGGGGCACUGCCGGGAGACAGGUGCUGGAGCCCCGACCCCCUCUGCUGGCACCUCUGCCCGGGGUUCUCAGCUGAGCCCAGGACUCUCCCCAGGGCCUGGGCAGGCGACAGGGCAGGAGACGUCAGUCACCCCAUGGACGCCCCGGCUUUGGCAGGAAAUGGAGAUGGGUCUGUCUGGUUCAUAUAUUAAUAGGCGUCUGUCACACACCAGGUUAGGAAAUAAUCCUCCCAUUGUCAGCCUGGCUUAAUCCUGCCGUCGUCAACAUGUCUUCCGGGACCUCAUGGGGAGGGGCGCUUUCUCGGAAGAAAUCCCUUGUCAGAGGGAGAGGCAGAUGGACCUCUCUCACCGUGGGCCUGUCCCCGCCAGGAAGUCCGUGUGUCUCAUGCACGAUGUUCAAGGCGCUGAGGAAACCUGCUUUGUAACAAAUGAAAGCCUAGAUCUCUUGAAGUCACCCCUUAGGUGGUUUUUGCAGAAGUAGAGGCUUCUACAAACUGGGUUUCUUUAAAGCAAGGGGUUUUUUUUCCUGCAUUUUUAUUGGUUCCUAAAAUAGAAACAAACAGCAUGAUUCAGGAAAGGGCAAGAAGGCUUAGCCUGCUCUGAAGAAGGCCUAUGGGAUUGUCACCCAACGAUUAUCACCACCCCACCCCCCUACCCCCGCCAAACACAGCCCUUCAACCAAACCUAGCAGCUGAGAUGACCACAGUAUUUCUUUCUUUCUUUCUGGCCAUGCUGUGCAGCGCAUGGGAUCUUAAUUCCCCAACCAGGAAUUGAACCCAGGCUCCCACAGCAGAAGUGUGGAGUCCUAACCGCCGGACCACCAGGGAAGUCCUCACAAUUUGUUUUUAAUUAACCCUAAAGUGUUUUCGAAUUCAGUGAAGAAUGAGAAAAGCAGUGUCCUGAGCGCAAAGUCAAAAGCAGGUUUCUGUCAGUUGUAUGAAACCAUCACAGUGAAAACCUUUUGAGUAAAGAAACCCAAGUACAUUCUUCUAUCCUUCUGACAGGAUGUGAGUGCUGAGGGCGACCCUAGAACCACCCAAGAGGCAGGAAUGAGCCAACUUGGAUUUGGCUAAAAAAGAACAGGAAACACACAUCUAAGCACCCAGUUCACACAGUGGUAGGAAAGGAGAAACUAUAAACUCCCUCUACGAUGCUAAGUCUUUAUGGCAAAAGUGAAUUUUUUGACAGUGAAUCAUCACCUCAGAGAAGCUUCCUGCAGCCCGUGGCACCGAGCAGCCUCUUCUCAGACGCCGGGUGCCGCUUAUUCUGCUCUCGGCCUUUAUUUGCCUCCCACCUCUCCCCCAAGAAGGCUGCACUCAGCUACAGCAAUCCAUCCCAAGGAGGAGCUUCGCCUCUGAGAGAUUAAUCAUGAGCGGGGAUGUGUGAUUGAUCCUGCCACCUGCAAAGCAGGGGGACGCUGAGGCCGUCUUUUCUGCAGUAAGCAAAGUUCAGAGCUGUUUGAGUUCCGCUAGGUAAGCAGGACUCUCCAGACCUGAGCCGGUAGGCUGCCCUCUCAGCAGGAAUUCUCGCCCUGACCAUGCACAGGUGUGCCUCAAUAGACGCACCUGAGCCACGGAGGCUAGAGGGUCAGAACUGCUCAUUUUUGCAAAUAGCCUGACUCCAUCAGGUUUUAAUUAGCAUGAAGUAUGGCAAACCCAUUCUGUUCAAGAGGUUGGUAAAUGAAAAUCGGAUUAAGAUCUGUUGUAUAACCUUAGGCUACAUAGGAUUUUUCCUAAUCCCAGCUAGAGGCUAGUAUAUCCUAAUUCUUGCAGAAAAGGAGUCUUGAGGUUUUGUGGGUUUUUUUUUCUUUUUGGCCAUAUCCUACCCCUCUCCCUAAAAAUAAAACCUUAAGUACACGAUUCACCCAAAAAUUAAAGGGAAAGGGAAAAUAAUUGCAUUUGCUGUGCAUGUAACUUGGAACCAAUAUAUGCUAAAGAGAGAAGGUAAUUUGGGAGGACCCUUGACUCAGAUGCUCAGUAGAAGAAACAGCAUCACAUCGCAGAUGGACAGCCGUGGGCUCAAAACACAGCUCUGCAGCCACUUUUGAGCUGCAGCUUUGGUAGGAAAUCAGUAAAACACUACUCUCACCUCAGCUAGAAUUCGACGAGAUGAUGACUGCGGAGAUCAAGCCCGGUAACGAGGACAACGUAAGUUCUCAGCUUACUGUAUUGUUAGACUUGAGCAGCAGGUCUAGCGGGACCCAGGAGAGGUAGGAAGGAGUGUGUUCAGCGGCUGAGUUGCCAAGGGAAGCAUGUAGUAACACCGCUUCCCGGCAGCAGAAUUCCCCCUUCACAUCCGGGGCGGGAAGCCUGUCCUGAUCUAUUCGGUAUCAGAUGGGUUUGGUUCUUCACCCUCAAGGUUAUCAGGAAAAUAUCUAAGUACUGACUAUAUUCAGCUCCAUCCAAACACCGGGGCAGUUUUAAACCUGCGCACACACUGUCAUUUACAGACCAGUCACACACCUUAGGGCUCAGCCUAAAGGCUGAUGCACAGGCUAAUGUAAAAGGGAUUGUGGAGCUGAGGCUUUGGGAUAAAUUAUGGUUUAACGGCAGUGAGCGUGGCUUCAUCUUCUGACCUUGUAUUGGAAGCCAGACCCUGUGCUGCUCUCCCUACACGAUUCUCACAACGUCUCCAUGCAAGCUGAGGGGGGAUGAGAUGGUAGGUGGAUGGAGGGGGAAGCCCCUUACCUUCCAGAAGACUCCAAAACUCAAAAGAGCCGUUACUUAAGGGGCGAUGACUGUCCUUGCAGGUCUCAGCUGCUCAUCACCUUGUCCUCUCAAAACCUCACAGCAUCAGGAUGGUAAGAGUCUCAACGGUUGAGUACCUUGUACUGAGUCACAUAACGGGCCAGAACUCAGUCCCUGGAAAUCUAAUCACAUAUCCUGUGCUUCUCCACCUAGAACCCCUCUUCGUGCCCACCAAAGCUGCCGGGGAUAAGUCAAGAGACUAGUGGUGGUGGGGAGACAGGAAAGGGCUUCUCACAGCCAGGUUUCAGUAACUCACUGCCAAGAGAGUGAGGUUUACUCUUAGGGUCUGGAGACCCUAAAAGGCUCACGUGGAAUGUGACCAUGCUCAGCCUGUGUGCUACGGGAAGCUGUGAGUGUGGUGAUGGAUUUCACCGUCUCUGCGAAGCCUCGCUUACCUUUACAGUGUCUGCCCUGUGUGUGGCAGCACCGCCCUCAGUGAUUAGCGUGUGUGAAGGCCCUACACCCUCACAGCAAUCCCACGCAGUAGCUUUUGCCCAUCCUGUGGAAGAAGGGACUUGCCUGAGGUCACAGAGGUAGAAGUGGUCCAGCAGGGGUUGGAACUUGGGUGAUCCUGGCUUCAACGACACAGACUAGAAGAGCAGUGUGCUGUGGGGCCUGGAGUUGCUUCUCUCCCCUGUGGCAAGUGCGCGCCUGGCACGGGUGUUUGCAGGUAAGGGUGCACCUUUUAUAAUAAUUUACGUGAAUGAUCCCACUGGACACUGAAGUGGUAGCACCAGAGGGGAAGAGUAUGAUACCAACACCCUCUGUCCAGUCAUCGUCAAGGCCUUGAAAGAGGUGGAUCUUUAUCAGAUUUUCCUGUUUGAACCCUUCCCACUUAGCGUAUUCAGCUGCCAGCUGGGUGAGGCUUCUGGAAAGAGUUUGGAGGCCCGCUGAGAGCCUUGACAUCCUUGUCUGAAAGGCACUGGCAUUGGCAGCUGUCCAAACACUGUGGUUGACUUUCAAACUAUUUAAUUGAAACCAUAUUUAAGGGGGAAAAAGAGCGAGAAGGAAGGGGUACGGGGUGCCAGAGCAGGAGAAAGAUCUUGGCAAAAAAACAAAACCAAACCCUUCUGUGUGCUGUUUGCACCAUCGGAUUGACCAGACAGGGCCACAAAGCUGAUAGAACAGGAUUAGCAAAACUGCAUUGUUGGCCGUGGGUGCGGCAUGACACGUGCUACAGCAAAGGCAUUUGGCAGGAUUAACCUGCCAAGGAUAAAGAUGUAGCAGACAAGGGGCUGAAUUAAUGGACUGGCAUGACCGAGGCGGGGAAAUCUAUUUGCAUGCGAUAUUAACUGUGCUAAUAAACUCCAGGCUGGGUUCAGCAGCCCUGUGGGUCCUCUCAGAAACAGGAUUUUUUAUUUUAAAGCCCACCUGGAGUCUUCCAACCAAGACCGGCUAACGCAGGCAGGCUUCCCAGGCUGCCUUUAGGCUCAAGCUUGCUGUCAUCUUAGAAUAAACAAACGCACAUUCUUACAUACCCGUGGCAGCAUGGGCGCCCACUGACUGUGCAGAGUGACCCUCGUACCCCGGGCUUUGAAUGCCAAAGGGUCCUCCGUUCAGAGGGUGAUCGUCUCUGAAAAACAGUGAACGAUCAUUACGUAUAACACACUUGACAAAAUACCUGCUUGGAAUGGUUGAUUGUGCCUGAUGUGUGUGUUCUCAUUGCGUGGAAGUCAGGGCGAGAGCAGGGUGAGCAAGCAAGACAGGCCAAGGCAUAAAUUUUCAGAAGGUGCUCCUGGUCCCGCCUGUACACGGGCAGCAUCAGCACCUGAGAGCAAGUGCCUCGUGCCUCUCAUCCUGGUCCUGCUGAAAGCAAUGGUGGGAACAAGGAAGAUAUGGGCAUUCAAGAUUCAGGCACGCUUAGACACUCACACUGUCGCUAAUGCAUAGCUGAGUGUUGGGGGGCAGCACCAGGAAAAGGCCAGGCAGAUGAGAGGAGAGGGGACCAAGAAAAAUGUAACUACCCUCCAAGUUACUGCUGUGGGCAGCUGGGGACCUUUGCCAGCCUGGGUGGGACGAGAGAGCAGGAAUUUUUCCACCAGCUUCCAAGCAUCACUGAUGAGAGAUGUUUACUCCUUGUACCCCACAGGCCCACCAUGUUCCUGCCCAAGGGAGGCCGUGCCAGCCGAGGGUACCCUAUGCACAGGGCCAGUGGGGCUCCAAACAGCCAGCACCUGCCACGUGAGUGAGAUUUCAUUUUCAUCUGAAGAUGCUGACUCUCUAUCAGACUCUUAUCACCACACCAAGGUUCAUACAAAUGUCCAUUUUUCACAGAGCCGUAGAUUUAGAGCAGCAGUCCCCAAAUCUGGAUUAUCAGAAUCCCUGGGGGUGGGGGUAGAUUCCUGGGCUUCGCCUUCAAACCAGCUGCAGCAGAACCUGGGAGCGGGAGGGAGGGAGCCCUGAAUCCCACGUCCCCAUCCUGAGCCAGUCAGCCAGGUUGAGGGGAUGUCAGCUGCUGAAGAAAAUCUGCAUUGACCCAUGGACACCUGGGAGCUGGUUGAUGAGGGAACACACCCUAUUUCUGUUGCCAUCAUCUUUUUCCAGAAGGAACAGGCAGGAAAAUGGUUUGUUGAUUUGAGACCUCUGAUGUUAUAAAGCUUAGAUAAAUGUCACGUCCUUCCAAUUGCCUUUGCCAAGUGAUCAUUACGUGACGUUAAACACACAUACACACACUCUCACACGCACCAGAAUUAGCUAGCUUGACCUUGCCAAGCAAAUAGUGAAGAAAAAGAAGUAAUAUAAACAGGCCAGAAUGGGAAAUAAAGAGAUAAAAAGCUUUGGUUAAAAUGGGUGCAGAAUUCUGGAACACCAGCAAUGUUAACAUGCUCAUCAAAUGCCCCUGGCAUAGCUGAGGCACUUCGGAGGCAACAGCAGGUAACCGGGCCCUGAGCGGAGAGGGAGGGGCAGCUGUGAUGUGUGAGCCCCCUGUUCUGGGGCACGUGGGGGCUGGGAUCCAGUGCAGGCCACCCACCAGGUGGCCACCCACAUACUCUGUUCUGGGGCUGCCUUUGCCCAGGGAAAGGGGGACUUUCUUGAGCUCACAAAAGGCUCCGUCCCAGGAAAGGCCCGAUUGUUUCCCUUGCAGAAGGUGCUGCGUGCUCUAGCUCUGUGUGUCAAGAUCUGAAAGAGAGACGGUGCGGUGCGUAGAUGAGCGGACAAGAAGAGGGAGGUGGGCGGGGCAGGGCCACCUGGACCUGUGUGCUUCUGCUGGACUUGCAGUUUACUCUGGAUGGAUGGGGGAGGGGAGGAGGGGACAAGCAGGAGAGUGACAGGCUCUGAGUCGUGUUUUAG
ensembl:lncRNA